rnacentral:rRNA from 1 species
GACGAACGCUGGCGGCGUGCUUAACACAUGCAAGUCGAACGGUGAAGCGCCUUGCUUUUUGGUGGGUGUGGAUGAGUGGCGAACGGGUGAGUAACACGUGGGUAACCUGCCCCCUUCUUCUGGAUAACCGCAUGAAAGUGUGGCUAAUACGGGAUAUUCUGGGUCUGUCGCAUGAUGGGUCUGGGAAAGAUAUUGUUUCGGUGGGGGAUGGGCUCGCGGCCUAUCAGCUUGUUGGUGGGGUGAUGGCCUACCAAGGCGGUGACGGGUAGCCGGCCUGAGAGGGUGGACGGUCACACUGGGACUGAGACACGGCCCAGACUCCUACGGGAGGCAGCAGUGGGGAAUAUUGCACAAUGGGCGCAAGCCUGAUGCAGCGACGCCGCGUGAGGGAUGGAGGCCUUCGGGUUGUGAACCUCUUUCGCCAGUGAAGCAGGCCUGCCUCGUUUGUGGGUGGGUUGACGGUAGCUGGAUAAGAAGCGCCGGCUAACUACGUG